AACGAACGCUGGCGGCAGGCCUAACACAUGCAAGUCGAGCGCGCCCUUCGGGGUGAGCGGCGGACGGGUGAGUAACGCGUGGGAACGUGCCCUUUUCUACGGAAUAGCCUCGGGAAACUGUGAGUAAUACCGUAUACGCUCUUUGGGGGAAAGAUUUAUCGGAAAAGGAUCGGCCCGCGUUGGAUUAGGUAGUUGGUGGGGUAAUGGCCUACCAAGCCGACGAUCCAUAGCUGGUUUGAGAGGAUGAUCAGCCACACUGGGACUGAGACACGGCCCAGACUCCUACGGGAAGCAGCAGUGGGGAAUCUUAGACAAUGGGGGCAACCCUGAUCUAGCCAUGCCGCGUGAGUGAUGAAGGCCUUAGGGUUGUAAAGCUCUUUCAGCUGGGAAGAUAAUGACGGUACCAGCAGAAGAAGCCCCGGCUAACUCCGUG
rnacentral:rRNA from 1 species